rnacentral:lncRNA from 1 species
AAUGAUAAUCAGCUGUUAAUAACAUUUGAAUUUCAGAUCUUGUGUGGUGUUAACCAAGUUUGAGCACCAGCAUUCCUAAUGUGCAUUGGCCAAUAUCCUGUCUUCUGCUCAUAUAUGUCAAUUUUAGCUGUUUUCCAGAUUUCUCAGAUUAGCCCUGAGCUAACAUCCAUGCCAGUCUUCCUCUGUUUCGUAUGUGGGUCACCACCACAGCAUGGCUGAUCCUCUUGCCGAUUCCCUUAAUCUCAGCACUUCAGUCAGUCGGAAGCUGCCACGAGAGGACAAGAUUUUCCUGGCCACAGAUGCUUUUGGAGUUUCCCUUCUACAGAAGAAUUUCAGGCAUUUGUCAGAAAGUCUGGUCUGGAUUUUACUGCACUUUUCUUUCAAAAGACAGAUUAAGACAAUUCAUGUUUGAGAGUUUGAAUUUAAGGCUCUUCUCAACUGCUGUUGCCACAGAAAAGUCUCUUCCUGCUUGGAGUUCUACUGGAAAACUAACCCACCGCGGCUGAGAAACACGAUUGCUGGCAAAGUUUCUCUGCAGCAACACCAGGGAAGCUGUCUCCUCCACAAUGAUGGAUCCAGGAUUGAACAAGAUCAGUACCCUUUGGUCACUUCCGCACAAGAGAAAGAUUUAUUUUCAACUCCAUCUAAUUAUUUUCCGGAACCUAGUUUUGUAGAAUCGUUACUUUGUUAUUUUACGGGAGUAUGCUGGGGGAUGGAGUUUAAACUCCUCUAAAACAAGGAUGCAUGAGAACUAUUUCCUCUGUGGCCUAAUUGUCUAAAUCUGACUUUGGAGUCAAUAUUUUUACUGGAUAUCUAGUGCUUAUCAAAGUCGCUUGCAGCCAAAAUAAAAUGUCAGGCAAAGGCAUACAUUUUACUGCUAGAAAUUCAAGAUUUCAUAGGAUUUUUGUGAUAUGUAUCUCUUCAAGGUACAGUUUGACAGAAAUUAAAUUAAAUCUGCCAUGUCAAAUAAAUCCUGAGGAUGGAAAAAUUACAGAUAAUUUUUAAUGUUUGAUACAGAUAUGUUCUUCUCUAGCAGUCAAUACCUCAGUCAAAGUAAAUAAAUAACUUCAAAGAUUAUGUGGGAUCAGAAUUGUUUUCAGUAAAAGACGCCAUUAAAGUUAAUGACAACAAAGUCAUAAUGGAAUAAAUAUUACAACUGGAAAAUGAUUAAAAUUCUCCAAGUGGGCUUCGUAAAUUACAAUGUUAAUGUAAAAAUGAGUGGUAUUUACUAUUUUGUUUAUUAAAAAUCUUCCACUUUUAGUAGACAAUGUGUUUGUUAGAUUUUUUGUGAUAUAUCAUAAACUAUAUUAGGUUAGAAUAACCAAAAUAUCAUCAUAUGAGACUUUUAAUUUUGCAGAAUAUAAGGAGUAAUUACAAAAGGAAAUCUAGA